UACGGGGGGAGCAAGCGUUGUUCGGAUUUACUGGGCGUAAAGGGCGCGUAGGCGGUCGUGACAAGUCACUUGUGAAAUCUCCGGGCUUAACUCGGAACGGUCAAGUGAUACUGUCGGACUAGAGUACAGAAGGGGCAACUGGAAUUCUCGGUGUAGCGGUGAAAUGCGUAGAUAUCUGGAGGAACACCGGUGGCGAAGGCG
rnacentral:rRNA from 1 species